UUGACCCCCUGAAAAUUUAAAUUUGCACCCUAGACCCCAACUCCUCUCUCUCACACACUCAUCACGUCAGACAAACUCUCUCUCUCACACACUCUGAUUUCUCUCACACGGACAAGCACUCUGCACUCUGUCUCUCACCUAGGUUUGGGUCACCACCACGUCGGCCGCCGCACCACCACUAUCCACCACCAGACCAGUCCAGCCGCACCACACCACAGAUUUUGUUUCAUUAUCUUGCUGCAUUGUGGGAGCGGAUUGGAGGUGGUCUCACAGGUGUCAGAGUAUGGUGUUGGUAUCCUUAAAAGUUUUGUUGGGAUUCAUAGAAGUAGUGGUGUCCGUAGUGGUGGGUUCAUUAGCAGAUUGAUUAGUUUUCCUCUUGGAAGUGUGGCUUCUAAGAGGGUUGUUUAUGUGUAACUUGAAAUUGUAAUCUUUUUUCUUUUUCCCUUGUGCACUUUCUAUCAAGCAAAAACAGAGGACUCUGCUUGAAAACUUCAUUAUAUUGAUUAUUGUUCUAUAUAUUUUGUAUUGGGCAUCCAGUUGAAUAAACUAGUUAUGGUUGAGUUUA